AACAAAUGAGGCUUCCUGCAGUCACUAAGGAUCACGAUUCUAAAUAAAUCUGAGAAGCUCAGCAAUAGAGGUCGCCCCCUCCCCCGGGCGGAGUCCUUGAUAUCUGAAACAAGGCUUCACAUCAUCUGGCAUUAAACUAUGGGGCUGCUUGAAGGCAGAAUUUGUCUUAUUCUGAUGUAGGAUGACCAAAACAUCUGGAGAAACAAAUUGGGGUGAGCCCUCUCCAAGCGUGUUAAUAAAAUACUAGUUGUCAGCAUAAGACAGACAACAAGGCAAGGCCCAGAAGCCACUUGCUCCACAUCUGCAGUUACAAGGCAGAACAAAUUUGCCAGAACCAAGCUACAGGUUGAUCUCAAUUCUUUCUACAUCAAAUUUAGUUGGAUAUUGCUUAAGUGUAAAAUGGAGAAAUGGUGGUGUACAAAGUUGGAUAAUAUAGACCAGAAGGGAAAUCUACUUAGUGAAGGUAGGUUAUUAGUAAAUGUUUUAUUUGUUUGAAGGGCUUUAGAGGCAUUAGUAUGUGGUAAUAUAAGAAUCCUAGUAUAAUUUUAAAUAGGUUGUAUUAAAUUAGUAGGUUUAGGGGAAGACAUCUUAGUAAGAAAUGGUAUGAAAAUACAGGCAAGUGGGGAAACUGAGGCCUGGAGUAACCAGUCAUAUUGCUUCCAUGCUGGGAACUCUCCAAUGACAUAUCGCACAAUACAGAGCCAACCUCAAGUUCCCCACCAUAGACCACAAGGACUUGCAAGUUCUAACCUUG
rnacentral:lncRNA from 10 species